AGGGGACAUCCUGGCUUCCAAGCUGUCCGGGUGACCCUGGAAGAGUCACUUCACCCUCAUGGCCUAGCCCUGACUGCUCUUCUGCCUUAGAGUAGAUCCAUAGUAGUGUUCUAAGCCAGAAGGGGAGGGUUUAAAAAGAGUAUUAUGAAGAAUAAAAGCUUGUGGCUAACAUUUGUACCACCCAGUGGAAUUGCUUGUCACCCCUGCGAGGGGGGAGAGAAAGAAAAGAAAUCAUGGAAACACGAAAAACAUUUUUAAAAGAAAAUUAAAAGAAAAACAAACAAACAAAAAAGAAGAGCCUGCCAGGCUGUGGAGCCCCCGGGCAAACCCCCGGAUUCCUCCGCCGCUGCUCCCUGGGCGCGGCACUCUCUUCCAGGGCUCCCAGGUUCUCCAGAUGGUGUGGGAGCUCAGACUAAGAACAGCUACGUGGAGAGAGUCCCAAGGGGCCAGCAUGGGAAAAGACCCUGGAGGCCGCGGAGUCUUACAGAGGGCAUGCGGUGGUUCUUCAGCAUCAGAAAGUCAGAUAACAGCGCUUGGGGAAAUGAGGCGGCCGGACCUAGAAACCAGGAUUGGCACUCCCAGGCCGGGAACGCUCCCUCCUUCACCCUGGCCUCCCCCGCUCAUUCACCUGCAUGCGGACACUAAUUGGAAGAAGCCAAAUGUUCUGUUUAUCACAUCCUAUGGAGCAGCUGGAAAAGGUACUGGAGGGCUCAUCUUGGACUCAAGAAUGGCUCUUACUAGCUGUGGAACCCUGGACAAGUCUCUGCACCAACUCAGGCCUCUGUCUUUAAAAUGGGGAUGACAAUCUCACUUGUCCCCUUUCUUUCCACUCACUACCCCCCAUCCCCCGCACUGGUUCCCACCUAAAGGAAUUGGUUCCUGUUUUCCUGCUCCCUGCAACUGUCAUGAGCAUCUUUUUGUAUGAUGAGUCAGUCUGGCUGUGCUACUCUUCUGAUCAAAAAUGUUCUGUGGUUCCCUGGAUAAAAUAUAUAUUUCUCAGCCUGACCUAGCAAGCCUUCCACAAGGGUGCUAAAGGGAGUUUUCUGCCUUAUUUCAUGUUAUUUACCUCUGUCCACUAUUCUCUACCUCCUGUCACCAUUUUCCACAAAGUCUACAUUAAAAGCCACCUGUAGGAACAUUCCCACUGGACAUGCUCCUCCUGUCUUCCUGGGGUCUAGUCAGGCAGGGCUCCCUUCGUGCCCAUCCCUUCCCCCUUGAAGAGUGACCCUUUGGUUUCUGACUCCUCGGGCUGGCCACACAGGAAGUGCUUUAUAAAGUUGAACAACUUAUCCAUCGUGGGCUCCCUUCCUCUGCCUCCCCUCAAGAAAAAUGCCUUUGAACAAGAAGCCAAUGGAGCAGGGGACCCCGAUAUUCUCUGGUACUCUUCUGUGAGAAUUCUAUCUCCCCUUGACCAGGACUUCCAGGGGGCUGAGAGGUCUCUGUCCCACCAGAAGGGUCUUCGCCCUCACCCCAUCCUCUCCCUUGCCUACCUAGCCAGGCUUGACAAUCUGCUCUGCAGACCCCCCAGUGCCCAGUGGAUAGAAGUUGUGAGGGUCUUCAUAGACACAGCCCCAAAGCUCAAGACCUAGGACUCAGGAACCAGGUAGCUCAUUCCCCACCUGAGGGACCUUGGCAAAAGCACUUUCCCUCUUUGGGCCUCAGUCUCCCCAUCCUAAAAUAGGGCAUCCCCAUGUCCUAAAGGGUUGCAACACUCUAGUCCUCUCUAUUCCCUGGCUUCCCCUUGCUCCCCCCCCCCCCAAGCCAGUUCUUUGACAAAG